rnacentral:lncRNA from 13 species
UGAUUGGAUCAUGGGGGUGGUCUCCCCCAUUCUGUUCUCAUGGUAGUGAGUUCUCAGGCCAUCUGAUGGUUUCAAAGUGUGCCACUUCCCCUCGCCUCACCGUCUUCUGCUGCCUUGUAAAAACGUGCUUGCUUCCUCUUUGCCCUUCACCAUGAUUGUAAGUUUCUGAAGCCUCCCCAGCCAUGUAAAACUGUGAUUCCAUUAAACCUCUUUUCUUUGUCAAUUGCCUAGUCUCAGGUAUGUCUUUAUAGCAGUGUGAGAAUGGACUAACACGCCAUCCCACCCCCACCAGAGAAGAUCACGGGGCAAAUUUAUGCAGUCAUUUUUAGAUACUGAUUCUCAGCUGAGGAGUGGGUGGUGAAGGCAAAUUCCCCCUAAAUUGGAAUUACAGCUAAAUAUGUAACAAGAAUGCCGACAAGUCGUAAUUAACUAAUUAGGAAACUACGGUCUACACAGGACACUGGGAAAACUUGUUUUUGAUCACAGCCCUGCUGCCAAAAGCAGGAUCUGGUCCAGAGAGGAUAAAAUAAAAAAAGCAGCAGGAACCAGCAGAUGGUGCUGAGAGUAAUUCCCAGCUGACCUUACUGCUCAUUGGCAUAAGACACUCCCACCAGGGCCAUGACAGUUUGCAAAUGCCGAGGCAAUGACCCGGUAGUCACUGCCCCUUUCCUAGAAAGUUCUAGAUAACUUGCCCCUCAGUUUGUAUUGACUUGCCCCUAAUUUGCAUGUAGUUGAAAGUAGGUUUAUGUCAGUGUAACUAUUGUUGCCAAGAGCCCAUAUGUUGCUGACUGCGGGCACACUGUGAGUCAGCCCUGCUCCACAAGGAACGGUACCAUUCGGCAAAAGAUUGCUGUCUACCACCACCAGCUCACCUGGAACUCUUUCCGGGGCAAAGCCAAGUGUCCUCCCAGGCUCAGCACCGAUCCUGUGGCUCACCUGUCCUGUAACAUCUGGCGACCAUGAAGAGGCAAAGAUGCAGCUGAGUCCACCCAAGCUGGGGAAACCUGAGGAGGAGACCUUCACCCCGGCCUUGGUUGGUGCCAUUUUGGCUCCCAUGGGCAGGAGAAUGUCCCCUUGGCCUUCCCCAUCAAUAUCAGGUUCCAGAUAAGGAAAAUGCUAACACCAGUCUUCCAACAUAUCCUGUCUUCUAACCCAGAAAAUGAGAACAUCCUGCCUUUGGGCCCCUUAGAUCUGAUAUCUGGAGAUUUUACUCCUCCAGUCUAGUCAGAGGCUACACCCAUAAUCAGCAAGAAGCAGGUACAGAAGAUGGACCACUGCCCUUCUGCAGCCCCUUAAGAUUAAGGAAGAGGAGCUCAUCUUUGCUGCUAAACAUCCUGUCCUGUGACAAUGUCUAUCUUUCAAAAUUCACUCUAGGCACUCCAUGUUUCCAGCAAUUUUAAACUUUUAGGUUAAUUUGGAGGCUUGGAAAAUUAAAAUGAAAGAUAUCUUCAAUUAUUCAUGCCACAAAUAUCAGCUAAGCAUCAGCCAUGGGACUGGGGUUAGGAUAACAGUAAAAGUUCAUUUCUGUUUUCCAGCAGCUUAGAAGCCUGUAGAGUCUUUCUCAGAAGAAUAUUUCUAGAUACAUAAAAUGAAAUACAUAAGAUUAAAAAAUAAAUGAGUUACUAUGAGAUAUUGUUAUUUAAUU